rnacentral:rRNA from 1 species
CACGUAGUUAGCCGUGGCUUUCUGAUUAGGUACCGUCAAGAUGUGCGCAGUUACUUACACAUUUGUUCUUCCCUAAUAACAGAGUUUUACGAGCCGAAACCCUUCAUCACUCACGCGGCGUUGCUCCGUCAGGCUUUCGCCCAUUGCGGAAGAUUCCCUACUGCUGCCUCCCGUAGGAGUCUGGACCGUGUCUCAGUUCCAGUGUGGCCGAUCACCCUCUCAGGUCGGCUACGUAUCGUCGCCUUGGUAAGCCGUUACCUUACCAACUAGCUAAUACGGCGCGGGUCCAUCUAUAAGUGAUAGCAAAACCAUCUUUCACUUUAGAACCAUGCGGUUCUAAAUGUUAUCCGGUAUUAGCUCCGGUUUCCCGAAGUUAUCCCAGUCUUAUAGGUAGGUUACCCACGUGUUACUCACCCGUCCGCCGCUAACUUCAAAGGAGCAAGCUCCUUAUCUGUUCGCUCGACUUGCAUGUAUUAGGCACGCCGCCAGCGUUCAUCCUGAGCCAGGAUCAAACUCU